CGAAGUCUGAUGGAGCAACGCCGCGUGAGUGAAGAAGGUUUUCGGAUCGUAAAGCUCUGUUGUUGGUGAAGAAGGAUAGAGGUAGUAACUGGCCUUUAUUUGACGGUAAUCAACCAGAAAGUCACGGCUAACUACGUGCCAGCAGCCGCGGUAAUACGUAGGUGGCAAGCGUUGUCCGGAUUUAUUGGGCGUAAAGCGAGCGCAGGCGGAAGAAUAAGUCUGAUGUGAAAGCCCUCGGCUUAACCGAGGAACUGCAUCGGAAACUGUUUUUCUUGAGUGCAGAAGAGGAGAGUGGAACUCCAUGUGUAGCGGUGGAAUGCGUAGAUAUAUGGAAGAACACCAGUGGCGAAGGCGGCUCUCUGGUCUGCAACUGACGCUGAGGCUCGAAAGCAUGGGUAGCGAACAGGAUUAGAUACC
rnacentral:rRNA from 1 species